rnacentral:rRNA from 1 species
GAUUGAACGCUAGCGGGAUGCUUUACACAUGCAAGUCGAACGGCAGCGCGGACUUCGGUCUGGCGGCGAGUGGCGAACGGGUGAGUAAUAUAUCGGAACGUGCCCAGUAGCGGGGGAUAACUACGCGAAAGCGUGGCUAAUACCGCAUACGCCCUACGGGGGAAAGGGGGGAUUCUUCGGAACCUCUCACUAUUGGAGCGGCCGAUAUCAGAUUAGCUAGUUGGUGAGGUAAAGGCUCACCAAGGCGACGAUCUGUAGCUGGUUUGAGAGGACGACCAGUCACACUGGGACUGAGACACGGCCCAGACUCUACGGGAGCAGCAGUGGGGAAUUUGGACAAGUGGGGGAAACCCUGACUCCAGCCAUCCCGCGUGUGCGAU